ensembl:rRNA 5S_rRNA 5S ribosomal RNA
GUCUAUGGCCAUACCACCUUGAAUGUGCCCAAUCUCAUCUGAUCUCAGAAGCUAAGCAGGGUCCGGGCCUGGUUAGUACUUGGAUGGGAGAAAUUCAUUUUCAGUUAUGUGAAUCUUUUUACUGAGGAUA